rnacentral:rRNA from 1 species
UGGGGAAUUUUGGACAAUGGGCGAAAGCCUGAUCCAGCAAUGCCGCGUGUGUGAAGAAGGCCUUCGGGUUGUAAAGCACUUUUGUCCGGAAAGAAAUCCUUGGCUCUAAUACAGUCGGGGGGAUGACGGUACCGGAAGAAUAAGCACCGGCUAACUACGUGCCAGCAGCCGCGGUAAUACGUAGGGUGCAAGCGUUAAUCGGAAUUACUGGGCGUAAAGCGUGCGCAGGCGGUUUGCUAAGACCGAUGUGAAAUCCCCGGGCUCAACCUGGGAACUGCAUUGGUGACUGGCAGGCUAGAGUAUGGCAGAGGGGGGUAGAAUUCCACGUGUAGCAGUGAAAUGCGUAGAGAUGUGGAGGAAUACCGAUGGCGAAGGCAGCCCCCUGGGCCAAUACUGACGCUCAUGCACGAAAGCGUGGGGAGCAAACAGGAUUAGAUACCCUGGUAGUCCACGCCCUAAACGAUGUCAACUAGUUGUGGGGAUUCAUUUCCUUAGUAACGUAGCUAACGCGUGAAGUUGACCGCCUGGGGAGUACGGUCGCAAGAUUAAAACUUAAAUGAAUUGACGGGGUCAUAGCUG